rnacentral:rRNA from 1 species
CCUACGGGAGGCUGCAGUGGGGAAUAUUGGACAAUGGGCGAAAGCCUGAUCCAGCCAUGCCGCGUGUGUGAAGAAGGCCUUCGGGUUGUAAAGCACUUUCAGUGGGGAAGAAAGCCUUGGGGCUAAUACCCUCGAGGAAGGACAUCACCCACAGAAGAAGCACCGGCUAACUCCGUGCCAGCAGCCGCGGUAAUACGGAGGGUGCGAGCGUUAAUCGGAAUUACUGGGCGUAAAGCGCGCGUAGGCGGUCUGAUAAGCCGGUUGUGAAAGCCCCGGGCUCAACCUGGGAACGGCAUCCGGAACUGUCAGGCUAGAGGGCAGGAGAGGAAGGUAGAAUUCCCGGUGUAGCGGUGAAAUGCGUAGAGAUCGGGAGGAAUACCAGUGGCGAAGGCGGCCGUCUGGACUGACACUGACGCUGAGGUGCGAAAGCGUGGGUAGCAAACAGGAUUAGAUACCCUGGUAGUC